CCUUUACUUUACUUGGUACUGGUGCUGUGAUGUAACAAAUUUCUCAGGAUACUUCUUUUUACAUUCAUGUUCUCCUGAAGAAAUUGCAAACUGGAGGCCAAAAUUGCAGAAGUGGAGUAUUUUUAUAGUAUGAAUAUUAGCCUAUUACUUGAAAUUCCCUAAUUCACUUUGCACAAAUUCAAUAGUGCAUCAAUAUUCCAAUU